GGGGAAUUUUCCGCAAUGGGCGAAAGCCUGACGGAGCAAUACCGCGUGAACGAAGAAGGCUCUAGGGUCGUAAAGUUCUUUUAUCAGGGAAGAAGGAUUGACGGUACCUGAUGAAUCAGCAUCGGCUAACUCCGUGCCAGCAGCCGCGGUAAGACGGAGGAUGCAAGCGUUAUCCGGAAUUAUUGGGCGUAAAGCGUACGUAGGCGGCUAAGAAAGUCUGAUGUUAAAGGCCACGGCCCAACUGUGGAAAGGCAUUGGAAACUACUUGGCUAGAGUGCGGUAGGGGUAGAGGGAAUUCCCGGUGUAGUGGUGAAAUACGUAGAUAUCGGGAGGAACGCCAGAGGCGAAAGCGAAUAACUGGGGCGUAACUGACACUGAGAGACGAAAGCGUGGGUAGCAAAAGGGAUUAGAUACCCCUGUAGUCA
rnacentral:rRNA from 1 species